UUCUAGUCCUGCCCAUUGAAGACUGGGUGCCAUCUAGAGGUGCAAUGGUCAUCUCUUCAAUAUACCUCUGAAAUUAAGCAGACAAGGACUUCUUCAGCCAGAAAAACCCAUUAUUCUAAAAGUUGUGCCACGGGAUGCAGUUAUAACUGGAGCAUGACUUUCCCUCAAGGAGUUCUGAUGAGUUCUUCAGAAAGACAGAGUCUAAGAACAUCAGACCCUUUAGUUUAAUCAUGAAUAAAAUCCAGAUGAAUAUACAUCCACUGAGCUUUCUCAGUGUCUAUACAAGUUACCAUCCAAUAUAAAGGAGACAAAUAAGUGAGUGACAGCACAAGAAAUUCUCCUUCACUGGUUCUCAUGGGAUCAUCUCCAUCCACAUCUCAUUGUUUCUGUUAAUUUCUUUUGAGAUUUUUUGAGAGUAAACAUGUGUUUGUAAUUUGAUCAAGAAUUUUUGAUGAAAAUUUGAACUAUUAUGAAAACAACUCUAAUUGUAGAAUUGGUAUCAGAUGUGAUUUUAGUUGUGAUAUUUUACAAUAAAUGCUGCACAGAAAAUGUAAAUAAAUACCUCUUUAAAAA